GGCACCAUGGCCUAAUGGUAAGGCGUUGCUUUCCGGUGGCAAAGAUUGUGGGUUCGAGUCCCACUGGUGUCG
rfam:Setosphaeria turcica Et28A unplaced genomic scaffold SETTTscaffold_6, whole genome shotgun sequence.